CACGUAGGAGGCGAGCGUUGUUCGGAAUCAUUGGGCGUAAAGGGGGCGUAGGCGGCCUUGCAAGUCAGGAGUGAAAAGCCCUGGGCCUCAACCCAGGAAGUUGCUUUUGAUACUGCAGGGGCUUGAGUGUGGGAGAGGAUAGUGGAAUUCCUGGUGUAGUGGUGAAAUACGUAGAUAUCAGGAGGAACACCAGUGGCGAAGGCGGCUCACUGGCCCGGUACUGACGCUGAGGUGCGAAAGCGUGGGGAGCAAACAGG
rnacentral:rRNA from 1 species